UCCCCCGUCCCCAAGCAGCAGCGCCCGCCCCGCGCCCCGUCACCGUCACCUCACGGCGUCGCAGCACGGCUGGGGUGGGCAGGGAGCUCUGAAGGUCACCCAGUCCAGCCCCAGUCCUGCCGAGCAGGGUCACCCAGAGCACACUGUGCAGGACGGCGUCCAGGCGCGUUUUUUAGAAUACCUCCAGAAAAGGAGACUCCACAGCCUCUCUGGGCAGCCUGUCCCGGUGAUUUGAUCUUUGUGGGGGGAGGCAGGGGUUAGCAUAGCUGGUCCGGAAGCACCCCAAAGCAACAACAUCCAGAGCGCGUACCAGAAAUGCCGUAACUGACCAGGGAAAGCUGAAGGUAAGAAAGAAGGACAGGCGUGAGGGCUCAGAGCCGAGAGGUGGUGGACCUCCAACUGAGGGCUAGCGCCUCAAACCCAGGCGUGCUGACAUGGUUCUGCACAGGGCUGGUGUCUUUGAAGCCUCUUGGUUGUUCCUGCACGUGUGAAUAUUCUUGCAGUGGAGGAAUUGUGUGAAUCACUAGCUGGCUCUGGAGGCCAGAGGCUGUUGUCUCAUUUUCACAGAUUUAAAGUACAGCCCAUGUCACCGGGGCUUGGAGAGUCACAGGAGUAAAUGGCUGCACCUUUGCACGACUCACUGCGCCAUCGGGGCCCGAUGAUUGGUAUUUACUGAGGCCUGAUGGCUACUGUAAAAUUAAUUGGUGGCGGUUGCCUGCCCUUCUUCUGUCUUCUGCCUGUCUUGUAUUUUCCCUCUCCUCUGACAUGAGUCUCUUGCUUUCUUUCGCUCUUUAUCUCUUUAUCCCAGUGACUUCAGCCUCCAGUUCAACCUCCAACCAGCCAAUGUAUUUUUCUUCUUCUUUGAAUGGAAUCUCCCAGGUUCUUGGAUGAAAAUAUGCCAAAAGCUGUCUGGCCGUCAGAGAUAAAGGUGGUAGAUGAAGUGAAGUGAAUUCGAGAUGAAUCGUUUGACUCGAUCUGAGCCUUAAUUAGAAGCACCUUUAGACCAUUGCUCUUGUAUGUUUGGGGACAUUAAUAAGAAAUGUUCCAGUGUUCAAAGUCUGUUAAAGUGAUUGGGUAUGCCCAGAUCUUUGUGUUCCCAAUGCAGCUUUGUAAAUAAUAAAACUUAUGUAUGCUGUAUACUUAAAUACCAUCCUUCCGUUCAGGUCAGAAAUUUGUUACACAGAAUUGAGCCCCAGCGUGUUUUGGGAACGUGCAGAAUUAUGAAAAGACAUAAACCAAUGUCUCUGAAUCAGACGGAAGUGAAUGGAAGAAUUAGAUUCUCGACUCCCCUGAAAAUGAGGUCUUGGGUAUGACAUGCUGAAGAACAGUAUUAUUUUAAAAACAAUGACUUGUGUGGCACGUACAAAGACGUGCAGAGAGCUGCUGAUAGGGCAGGGGACAGCACCAUGUUAGCCCUGUGUCAUUCCUGUGUGUGGGUGGUGGAAGAAAGCGGACAACAAUUUCAAGGUUUAUAAAAACAUUUUAAAUGUGGUUAUCAGGUAUGCUGUUGGAGGUGUUGGUUAUGCUGAAUCCAGAGUUCAAAGUCUUCACUUUGUGACCCUUCUUCUCUUUGAGUGGAGGAGUGCACCGCAUGCUGCUGUGUACCUCUGUGGCUGAGCCCACUGAUUUGGCUAUGGUUCCUUAAUUGACAUUGCAUACACUUCUUUUUAUUUUCAGUAAGUAAAACCAGACUGGGGGCACUUGCCAGAUAGGGUCAACAGCGCUGUCAGCAACAGGUAACUUGUGCUGUGUUAGGAAAGCAUCUGAAUUUGGACAGUGAGGCAUUUCUAAUUACACACCUGGGCUUGCACCCACCGACAUGUCAGCGGCUUCUUUGCUGCUCACCAAGCUGUCAAGGAGAGACAAAGGGACCCCCUCCCAAAAAGCAGUCAGCAAUCAGUUCUUACUUUUUGACAGCAAAGGCUUUUAAGGUGCCUGUUGGCUCUUAAAACAUGCAUUAAACCGUCCAUGUAAUAUAAAAUAAACACUUGGUUUAGUGUCUCUCACAAAGCAGAUUAAAAAUAUGUUGGCAAAUAGUUCUUAAAUUGGCAUCCCUAGUGCGUGUAAAUGGAAGUCUGCUGCAGGGCAGGCAACAAGUCCCUCUGCUUUCUUUGGCUUUGUUUCCAUGCCGUGCUUCUCUGCUCAUUGUGCUGAGCGGUGGUUUACUGUUGAGACUGCUAAGAUUCAAAACAAGAAUAGAAAGCCAGCAGGAAGUUAUUAAAUGGUUUUACAGAAAUGUCAAGCCCACUUCUUCUGAUGAUUCUCCCUCUUCCCUCCUAGAAUCCUUUAAGCAACUUUGUACUUCCCCUUUUUUUUUUUUUUUUUUUUGAUUACAUGUUAACCUUUGUGCUGCGCUGGAGAGGAAAUGGGGAUGAUAAUGCCUGUGCUCAGGAAGAUAAAGUAAACUUAGCUGGAGCAUUCUGUGAUUGCUCAGCCUUGCAGUCAGAUUGUCUUAUGGUGACUGCUAGCAUGGGGAGCAGAGAUGCUGCAGGAAUGUCUGUUUAAUGAUCUUAAAAAAAUGUAGUCUGGGUUCGUCAUUGCCCUGUGAUGAGUGUUUCAUUAAUAUGUAAUUGAUUUUCAGCCUUUGGAAGAUUUGCUUAAUAUGAACUGACAGUUCAGCUUUGCAGAGUAAUCAGCCUGUAUCAUCCCUGCCCAAUUUUCUGGUGUUUUAGGUUAGAUCUGCAAAUCCAGAUCUGCUCAACCCACUUUACUCUUUCAAUACAGGGAAACGUUUCAUGUUUUUCAAGGAGUUACCACAUAGUGGUGUGUCUGGCUCCUCACCUUGCUGUGUAUGUGCAGCAACCAGUUGCAAGAGCUGGUCAGGAAAGGGUGGUCUAAUCUCACAGUACAGGAGAAAGAGGAACCGCCCAGCAAAGGCUACAGCGAGGAACCUCAUCCUGAUGGAGGACAGCACACAUGGUAGCAUCACUGCAUCUCCUACUUGAGUAGUCAGGGCAGGCCUUGGAUCUGAAUGUGAAGGGUGAACACAUUUUCUCCUGAAGGAUUUCUGUGGUCACGGAUUGAGGGUUUGACCUCCUUCUUAAAUGAACACUUGCUCUUGAGAGUAAACCUCUGCUUCCUAAAACACCAGGAUGAUUUAUUUACCAUCAGCACUGCCACUGACAGUUCAGAGGUUUCCUGCAGCAGAGGAUGAAAUAAUUAAAAAGUAGGGCUACACAAAAUAUCUGUUGAGAAAGAGCCAGACAGGACUGGAAGCCAGAUGACUUUGAAAAACCUUCAAAGUUUUUGCUAUUUAUUCAAGAAAGCAGGUACUGAAAAUUCUGUCUCUUUAGUAUAAAAUUGGUUGAUGAGUCUCAGAUCAGCAAUUAGUGGCUGUCACAUCACCAACAAAAAGAGAGAAUAAUAAUCACUGUGCGUAGAAUAAGUAAGAUUUACAAGACUUGAAUGGAUGGUCUUGUAUGAUUCUGUAUUUUCUUUUCUGGCCAAGCUGGAAGCACAUUACUAGGGUGUUGAGGGCAAAACUUUAAUCAAAGAGAUACUGAAACUCCUUGAUGCUUGCUCUCCCAUUACAUGUUUCUGGGAUGCAGCAGUAGGAUAGCUCUUCCUAAAUGCCAGCCUGGUAGUGCUCUUUUGAGAUAGAGCAAUGUCCUUUGGAGAGUGGUCAGUCAUUUCUUCUUAUUUUAAUUUUCCUAUUUUUUAUAUAUAUAACUUCAAACGUGUUAGGAGACAA